AUUCUGAGCCUAUGACGAAGCCUGUGUUGGCAGGGACAUUUGAGAGAGCUGAUGAAUGCCAAUGCCUCUGAUGGUGGCAG
ensembl:snoRNA